UUACAUGCAUAAAAACCUUCAUAACACACAAGGGGACGGGUAAUAACCAGAAAAGCAAGACAUGGGACCUUUAAUUCCCAAAUGUCCCAAUGCAUAAUAAGUAAGAAUGAAGAAUAACAUUGAAGGACUGAGCAUAAGAAAAAAGUGCAAUCUACCUCACCUCAAUACUGCCCAUGUGGACUUUUGCAGUUAGUAAUCUGAUCCAUAAAGCUCAAAGACGCACACAGACUCCACAAGGAGCCCCAUGGGAACAUAAAUACAUGUGAAGACUUCUGCUGGUGGCCAUAUUUGGCUCGUUUCAAACUGGAGGGCAGCUAGCCAAAGUUUGUUUGCACUGACAAGUGCACAGAUGGCUAUGUAUCUUUAAAACAUGACAUUCACACUUUCUAAAUAUUGAGGGAGAUGGAUGUGGUGAGCAAGGGAAUAUGGUUUGCAAUUGUUUCACUUUAAUACUGACGUAACUACUUGCAAUAACCAUCACCAAAUAAUCUACAGUAACUCAUAACACUUUACACCAGCCAUUGUUAAGAAAUGGUGAACUAAUCAUUAUUUAAUAUGACUAUUAACCAUCAUUUGGAACUAAGCGUUAACCAAAGUGAUUGAAUCAUUAUUGAAAUAAUCAUACUUAUUUAAUUGUAAAUAUAUAUACAAUAUUCUUCAUUAUAACAGUCAAUUAUCGGUGGUUAAAUUCAUUUUUUGCCACUAUGAACAAUUUGUUGGUAAUGACCUGACCUCAUAUGCAGGUAACCCUGUUUCUUUUUCGAAUAUUUGCAAACCAAAAUUAGUAUAACUGUAAUUUACAGUUGCAGCCGAGGCUCACAAUCCAUCAUACAUGGUUAUAAAUGGUGAAGCCUCUUUGUAAUGUUUCUACUCAUGUGGCCAUGGCCAUUAAACAUAAAUGUACAUAAACAAAUUGUUCCAUAUUAUAUAUACAAUACAAUGCUUUUUAAGAAGGAACAAGGAAAUCAUCGUAUUAAACCUUUUGGUAACUUAAGAAAUAUUAAGUAGUGAUUAUUUCACCAAGGGGUCGUAGACAUCCUGAAGAACCAUGACAGUAUUAUUAUUUGUAAUGCACUUUAAAUAUCAGUUGUAAAGCGCUUUGACAAAGGUAUGCACGCUAUUACGGAGUCUGCAACAUGUCAAGAACCAGCCGGACGGAGGAGCCCUCUGAUUGGCUGUUUGUCUUCAUGAAAAGCUGCAGCAGUGAAAGCCAACGCUCUGUGAGUCGGACCCCGUCUGACUCGAGUGGAUUAGAAGGAAAACCCUGACUGUGACUCAGCUGGGACUUAAUCCACCCCGAUGGGACUAACACGCAGAACGACAGACUGAGGGACCCAGCGUCAGCCAAGAAGCAUCAAAGGUCAGUUUGAGGUUCUCUUAAUUUCAUUCCCGGGACCCCUCCACCAGCGUCAGAUGACCCGCUGCAACAACGUCCUUUGAAAUGAGCAGCAGAAUGAAAUGGAGCAUCAUUAGUGACUGCAGGAGAGGAGAAUAGCUGGAUAAGGGCUACAGCACGACUCUCUCUGCACCUACAUCUCUUCUUCCCCACAACUGGAAUAAAUAUGGUCGGUUGCAGUGUGUUACCGGUGACAGGGGCUCUUUGAGUGCCGAGAGCAUCCUCGCCUGUCUGAUGCAAAUACCAAACUCGUCGUAUAAUGACCUUUUUUCUCACACUUGCUGCAUGAAUUAUGUUUUAACACUGCUGAUUUUUCAUGAAACAACAAAGGCUCAAUGAUUUAAUGAAAAGUGCCAAGGCCUUUUUCUAUUGCAGAAUCUGAAAAUAUUUCAAAAAGAAGCGUAUUUAUUUUGUUAUUUUGUACAUUGUGUUUUGGAAGUUAUUGUCAAUGUUGCUGUUUAUUUGGCACAUGUGAGACACCCUCCUGACAAAUGGGAGGAUCACAAGUUUCCUGUGUUGCACAAAAUGUGAUAAAUAGAAGCACGGUAGCCAAAUGCAUGCAGAGGUUGCACCAGCACCACAGAAUUAAAUAUUUAUAAACUACCUACUAAUAGGAGGAAGAUACAGUACAUCAAUACACUUAUUCACACUAACCUACUCAAGCUUUUAUGUCACUGUAAUCGCCACUUUUAAUAUCUCUAUUUGCAUGAUACCCCAUAAUUGUGUACACGGUCAUUAUUUUACCAUCACAAAGAAAAACAGGGCAGGAUUCCUUCGCAUUUCAGUCAUAAUGAGUUCAAAUAAAACUUUGUACUUCAAACCA